CAUUAUUGAAUGAACUUGGUGUGGUCGUUGCUGGCCCUUUUGGGGGCAUGUGCACACCCACCAUCCUCAUCUCUCCACCUGUGCACCUCUUGUAGACUUGGAUUGACUUUCCGAGGCAACUCGGUUGGGAGGACUGCUGGCACUAGCUGGCUUUCCUUGUAUUUCCAGGUCUAUGUUUUUUUCAUAUACCCCAUGUGUGUAACAGAAUGUAACAUUGGGCCCUUGUGCCUAUAAAACUUAUACAACUUUCAGCAACGGAUCUCUUGGCUCUCGCAUCGAUGAAGAACGCAGCGAAAUGCGAUAAGUAAUGUGAAUUGCAGAAUUCAGUGAAUCAUCGAAUCUUUGAACGCACCUUGCGCUCCUUGGUAUUCCGAGGAGCAUGCCUGUUUGAGUGUCAUUAAAUUCUCAACCUUUAUCAGCUUUUGCUGAUGAUGGCUUGGAUAUGGGGGUUUAUUUUGCUGGCUUCUUCACAGAUGGUCAGCUCCCCUUAAAUGCAUUAGCCGGUGCCUCGCGUGGACUGUCUAUUGGUGUGAUAAUUAUCUACGCCGUGGACAUCUGCAAUCAUAUGGGUUUGCACUGCUUCCAACCGUCUGUUCAAAUUUG
rnacentral:rRNA from 1 species